rnacentral:rRNA from 1 species
GUGCCAGCCGCCGCGGUAAUACGUAGGGUGCAAGCGUUGUCCGGAUUUACUGGGUGUAAAGGGAGCGCAGGCGGGACGGCAAGUCAGAUGUGAAAGCCACGGGCUCAACCCCUGAACUGCAUUGGAAACUGUCGUACUUGAGUGUCGGAGAGGUAAGCGGAAUUCCUAGUGUAGCGGUGAAAUGCGUAGAUAUUAGGAGGAACACCAGUGGCGAAGGCGGUCUACUGGACGACAACUGACGCUGAGGCUCGAAAGCGUGGGGAGCAAACAGGAUUAGAUACCCCAGUAGUCC